CUGAUUGGCGGGAUCCCUC
rnacentral:snRNA from 1 species